GAAAAUGAAUCAAAACUUUCAACAACGGAUCUCUUGGUUCUGGCAUCGAUGAAGAACGCAGCGAAAUGCGAUAAGUAAUGUGAAUUGCAGAAUUCAGUGAAUCAUCGAAUCUUUGAACGCACAUUGCGCCCGCCAGUAUCCUGGCGGGCAUGCCUGUC
rnacentral:rRNA from 1 species